UUUUUUUUUAAAGUUUGGUUUUUGUUCUUUUUGCUUAUUUUCAUCAAAAAACCGAACCAACUGAUUUUCCAAUUCAUCACUUUUUUUAAAAAAAAAAAAUAUUAUGGGCUUUUAUGUAAUAUAAUGCAUAAUUUAUGGAAUUUAUAGUUGGCCCCAAGAAUAAAACUAUAGAAAUAAAAAAUGUCCAAACUAAUAAACCGAACUGAAAAUUUUCAGAUUAGUUCUGUUCAACCUUUAACUGCUACAGCACACCAAUUACAUCCUUAUGACUUUCAUCUUUUCCCUUUUCUGACUCAAUGAUGGAGCUUGAGACUUGCUCCCAUCUAACAAGCAUUCAGUUACUGUGCAGUCCCAAAAUGAACAAAGAAAGAAGUAUAUGAUAACCAACAACAGCGAGUCUAGGAUGAAUUGUCUGAUGACUCACAAGUUCCAGUUGGAUGAUGUGGUGAAUGAAAGGUUUUAUACAUGCUAAUGCUAUUCUUUGUUAUCAGAAGCAUGAUGAUGCUUCUUAUAUUCUAUAUACCUUGGUUAGCCAAAUCUCAUUCAAAGUAUGAUUACAUGUUUGAUGAUUACCUCCUUGCUCAUUAUCUUCUGCCUCCAUCCCCUCUUCAAAAACCUAAAACAAAACAUUUGUUGUAUCUUUUUACCAAUCAGACUUGUUACUUUAGAUUUCUAAAUCUGAUUCUCUCUUUUGUCCAUUUUUACAGAAGUUCAUCCUUGGUGG
rnacentral:misc_RNA from 1 species